UGCCCCUAUGGUGUAACAGGAUAGCACAUGAACCUUCUAAGUUUAGAGUCCAGGUUCGAAUCCUGGUAGGGGCGU
rnacentral:tRNA from 1 species